rnacentral:rRNA from 1 species
CAGCAGCCGCGGUAAUACGGAGGGUGCAAGCGUUAAUCGGAAUUACUGGGCGUAAAGCGCACGCAGGCGGUCUGUCAAGUCGGAUGUGAAAUCCCCGGGCUCAACCCGGGAACUGCAUUCGAAACUGGCAGGCUAGAGUCUUGUAGAGGGGGGUAGAAUUCCAGGUGUAGCGGUGAAAUGCGUAGAGAUCUGGAGGAAUACCGGUGGCGAAGGCGGCCCCCUGGACAAAGACUGACGCUCAGGUGCGAAAGCGUGGGGAGCAAACAGGAUUAGAUACCCCUGUAGUCCCUGUCUCUUAUAA